UAAGGAAUAUUGGUCAAUGGACGCAAGUCUGAACCAGCCAUGCCGCGUGAAGGAUGAAGGUCCUCUGGAUUGUAAACUUCUUUUAUCUGGGACGAAAAAAGCUCAUUCUUGAGCACUUGACGGUACCAGAAGAAUAAGCACCGGCUAACUCCGUGCCAGCAGCCGCGGUAAUACGGAGGGUGCAAGCGUUAUCCGGAUUUACUGGGUUUAAAGGGUGUGUAGGCGGAUUAUUAAGUCAGCGGUGAAAUCUCCAGGCUCAACCUGGAAACUGCCAUUGAUACUAUUAGUCUUGAAUUAUCUGGAGGUAAGCGGAAUAUGUCAUGUAGCGGUGAAAUGCUUAGAUAUGACAUAGAACACCAAUUGCGAAGGCAGCUUACUACGGAUUGAUUGACACUGAGGCACGAAAGCGUGGGGAUCAAACA
rnacentral:rRNA from 1 species